rnacentral:rRNA from 1 species
CGACGGGUGAGUAACGCGUGGGUAACCUGCCUCAUACAGGGGGAUAACGGUUAGAAAUGACUGCUAAUACCGCAUAAGCGCACAAAACCGCAUGGUUUGGUGUGAAAAACUGAGGUGGUAUGAGAUGGACCUGCGUCUGAUUAGCUAGUUGGAGAGGUAACGGCUCACCAAGGCAACGAUCAGUAGCCGACCUGAGAGGGUGACCGGCCACAUUGGGACUGAGACACGGCCCAAACUCCUACGGAAGGCAGCAG